CCAAAAGCCUGCCGCUACCGGUAUGGACGACCGCCGCUCGGGAUACUCAGCCUCCAUGUGCCACUCGGGAUAUUCGGCAGCUACUCCGACUCAGAGGAUGAGGAGGAGAGCAUGCCCUCGUGGGGGUGGACUGAUGAUUGCGGAAACUGCAACUUCUCCGACUACACAACCUAGGAGGACGGGGUGUGCUCCAGCGACUUCAGGAUGUUGCAGGGUGACGGACUUGUAUGGCAGCGGUGUUGAUGACGAGGUAUAAUCGCAGUUGAGCCGAAGAGGUGGUGGGCUGGUCCGUGGGCACUCCAAGGAGAAGCUCCGGGUGGAGGUGCGAGCCGUGGCCGCGUUUGCCAAGAAAUGCUCUCGUGCCCAAGAAUCCGAGAUCCUUCCGUGGACUACAGCUUGCAUGAUUCCGGGCGACCCAGCUCUCCCCAAACCACACGAGAUGGGGAGGAGCAUCGCAAUUUCAACACAAUUGCAGACCCGAAAGGAGGCUUCGAGAGGACUUGGUUAUCAUCAGUGGAAGAUAUACUGGCUCAAGAUGAUCAUGAGCUUCAUCCGAGGUAAACACGGUCGUGCCUAGCUGGGUCAUGUCUGACAUUACCGUGAAAUUGGGUGAUGACAUCGGGAGAAAGGCGCUCGAGACAGUACCAUUAAGAUGGUUCAACAAGCCAGAAGAGAUUGAUGGUCUGGCCGAGUUCCUGGACAUUCAUCCGGCUGGAAGAUACGUGACCAGGCAAAUACCAUGCUGCUAGCUAUGCCCUGGGCAAGAAUUAAUUCUAUUAUUGAGGUACAUU